CCAGCUCCCCACCUGCACCUCAACUCCUCGUUAGUUUUUAAUUCCCGGUUUUCUGUUCAGUCUUUGUUGGAUCGUUUGUUCUCUUUAGAUGUCUGCCCGAACUUCCUGUUCCGUCAGCUUUUGUUUUUGCUGCUCGCUCCAAAUAAAGAGUUUUCUUCAGACCUGCUUCGCCUUCGGUCUCUGCGUUUGGGUCCAUUCCUGCUACUCAUCGUGACACAACAACUAUUGGAUGGAUUGUCAUUUCAUGCAGACAUUUAUGUUCCCCUCAGGAUGAAUUGUAAUAACUUUAGUGAUCCUCCUUUGGUGACUUUUUCAUCAAGAACCACCAUCAGAGACAAAUGAGAGGUGACGCUUUGCAGUCCAGCCUCCAACAGGAGAGAGAGACGGAGUGAAGGAGGAACAUCCCACUGUGUCUAGACAGGCUGGUAAUGAGACAGAAAAUUCCUGCCCAACAGAGGAGAGAAGAAGCUGAGAGACCAGCAACUGGAUGAAUGAUAUGAUAUAAAACCUAUUAACCUGCAAUGUCAUAUCUGAGAUCACAAGGAAGACUGAGAGAAGCGAGAAGUUACCUUGAAGCUGUUUGUUUCUUUGCCAAAGAUGGCAAUUCUGGCUGGUCAGGACUUUCCAACACUUUGGACCAAAGCAAAACUCAACAACUAGUGGUCAGAAUGUAAAAUACAUUUGGUAGAUAUAAAUGGUCUCUAUAUGAUGAACCCUUAUUACAUCCUGAACUUUCCUCUGCUGCCACAGUCAAGCCAAACUUUGCAUCUGUACACAAGAAGUCAGUAACUUUCAUAAAUAGACUCGUUAUCAGUCCAUCUACAAUUUUGUCAUCCUGUUUGUCGUUGUUAUCAUGUAUUUCCAGUCUGUCCCUCCUCUGUUAACAGGGUGUUGCUGUAAAAGAGCAAAUAUGCUCAGCCAACGUACCCUGCAUAGAUAAAUAAAUAAAAUAAAUAUCUGGUGCAUA